rnacentral:tRNA from 1 species
GGAGAGAUGGCUUAGCAGUUAAGAGCUCUGGCUGUUCUUCCAUGGGCUCUAGGUUCAAUUCCUAGUAUUCUCA